CUGAGGCCCUGUUACUCUCUCACUCACUCGCUUGGUCUUGAUCUCUCUCUCUCUCAACCCUCUCUAAACCCUAAUCUCUCUCAACCGAUCGAAUCGACCUUCUUCAGCCCUGUUUGAUCUAAUCCCAGAGCGAUUGGUGAUUCAUUUCAAAUCCAAUGAGUGAUUGGUGAUUCAUCUCAGAUCCAAUCUCAGAGCAAUUGACAAUUUCGAUUUUGAGAUUUCGAAGCUCCACCGCCUCCACCAUCUGCACUGGCGAGGGAAGCGAGCACCAUCGUCUACUAAAGUACAAGUGACAUGCCGCCUUCAAGGUCUUAGUUUGAGAGGUUUUGGGUGAUGGAGGACUCCAUUUUGUUGAUUUGUUUUUGAUGUUAAAUGUAUAAUAAAGCCGAGGGCUCAUUCUGUAAAAGAGUUACUUGGAAAGAUGUAAGCCCGUAGGGCAUUCUUUUGAUGCUAAUAUGUACUUAUGUUUGUAAAGAAGACUGAUGAAUUGAAAUAUACUAUUUCUCCUAUGUUUAUGGAUUAUACGAAUGGUUGCCUUGUACUUUAUUUGAGGGCGUUACACUACCAAGAAUCAAGUUAAUGUUGUCAUUGGUUUCAUUGAUACUGGCAGCACUGUGCUCUAUUAGGAUUAUAAAGAAAGUCCCGGACCUGGAUGAAAAUUUUAUAAACCCUGCUGCUGGCUUACUUAAGGAAAAGCACCACGGAGUUUUAAUAACAUGACUUCAUCUCUACAUAGAUCUAUGUACAGCCAGUGCAGAGGCUCUUGAAUAUUUUAGAAAGGUAACUUGACCAUGGUGUAGACAAUAUGCUGUAUAUGUAAUCAGGGGCGGAGGCAGGAGGGUCAGGGGGGUCUUGAUAAAUUCGAUUAAUAAGUGUAUGUGCACACAAAUUGUGUACCCUUUUUUUUUAUUUUAUUUUAUUUAUUUUUUUUAUGAUUUGGUAACUUAUUUGUUGAAUGUUUGUUGUAACAUUUUCUUGAAGUUCUUUCUUUGCAAAUUUUGUAUUGGUAGUUGUCAUUUGUAUUUACAUCGGGUGAUUGUUGUAAAGUAGGAACUAUGAUAUGAUUUUUAUGGUAUCAUUGUGAAUGAAGUUGGUAAUAGUUUUGCCAUA